AAAAUAUUUGAAAAUUGUAAAAGAAUGGUGAAACUUGUUUAUAGUAUAGGUGUUCUAGUACCUUUUGUAUUAGGGUUUUUCAAGAAUUGUUUAAAAAAUUAAUAAUCUCGAAUGAAAAGAUGCAAUCAUUUUUAAAGAUAAUAACGUUGUAAAGUUAUUGGUAAAUUUGUGAUAAUAGCUAUAUACUAAUUGCUUUUUCAGAUAUCUAGUUAGUCUAAAAAUGUAUUUAGUGCUACUAUUGUUGAUUUCAAUAAGUUAGAGUGAUUGGGUUAAGCUGAUCAUUGGAGUAAUGAUUUUUAUUAAAUUAAUUAAUUUAGUAGUUUUUGUAUUUUACAUCUUAUUAAAUUGUAAUAAAUACGUUAAUUUUUUUGUAAGAUAUAUAUUAUGUCUCAUUUUUUAUAAUAGGCUAAUUCUUUUUAAGAAAAUAUUAUGAUAAAAAUGAGUAGAUAUAUAAAAUAUAAGGCUGUAAUAGUUCAGCAUUUUUUAAUUGUACUGUUUAAAAAUUUUAUUUAAUGAAUUCGGCAAAUUUUAUCUAUGACUGUUUAACAAAAACAUUUCCUUUUGUAUUGAUAAGAGGUAUGCCCUGCCCGGUGUUGUGUAAUAAACGGCGGCCUUAGCGUGAGGGUCCAAAGGUAGCGUAAUAAUUUGGCCUUUAAUUGGGGUCUGGAAUGAAUGGGUUAACAUGGAUAAACUGUGUCAAAUAAGGUUAGUUGAAAUUAAUUUUGAGGUGAAGAAGCCUUAAUUUCUAAGAAAGACGACAAGACCCUACGAAGCUUUAUUUUAAGAAUAUAUUAAAUUGUAUAUUCUAAAAUUUUGUUGGGGCAACAAAAUGAAAAUGUAUCAUUUUAUUUUUGUUUUACUUAUUAGUUAAAUCUUAUUUUGUAUUAAUAGUAAGUUACUCUAGGGAUAACAGCGCAAUCUUUUAGGAUAGUUGAAAUUGGUUAAAUGGUUUGCGACCUCGAUGUUGGCUUUGGGUAACUUAGAAGUGUAGAGGCUUUAAUAGUGGAUCUGUUCGAUCUUUAAUUCCCGACAUGAGCUGAGUUCAGACCGGCGUGAGCUAGGUCAGUUUCUAUCUUCU
rnacentral:rRNA from 1 species